GAUGAACGCUAGCUACAGGCUUAACACAUGCACGUCGAGGGGCAGCAUGAACAUAGCUUGCUAUGUUUGAUGGCGACCGGCGCACGGGAGCGUAACACGUAUCCAAUCUGCCCGUUACUCGGGGCAAGCCUUCUGAAAGGAAGAUUAAUACCCGAUAGCAUUCAUUGGCGGCAUCGCUUUAGAAUUAAAGAUUUAUUGUUAAAGUAUGAUGAUGCGUACGCUUAGCUAGUUGGCGAGGUAACGGCCCACCAAGGCGACGAUCGUUAGGGGUUCUGAGAGGAAGGUCCCCCACACUGGAACUGAGACACGGUCCAGACUCCUACGGGGGGCAGCAGUGAGGAAUAUUGGUCAAUGGGCGAGAGCCUGAACCAACCAAGUAGCGUGAAGGAUGACUGCCCUACGGGUUGUAAACUUCUUUUGUUUGGGAAUAAAAGACGCUACGUGUAGCGUUCUGCAUGUUCCUUACGAAUAAGCAUCGGCUAAUUCCGUGCCAGCAGCCGCCGCUGUAA
rnacentral:rRNA from 1 species